rnacentral:tRNA from 1 species
CAAAGUAUAGCUUAACCUUAAAGCAUCUAGCUUACACCUAGAAGAUAUCAUUUACAAUGACUACUUUGA